GGGUGACGGAGCGACGCCGCGUGGGUGAAGAAGGCCUUCGGGUUGUAAAACCCUGUCAGGAGUUAUGAAAUGUAAGUGCGCUAAUAUCGUGCUUAUUUGACAAAGGCACCAAAGGAAGCCACGGCUAACUCUGUGCCAGCAGCCGCGGUAAUACAGAGGUGGCGAGCGUUGUUCGGAAUUAUUGGGCGUAAAGAGCACGUAGGUGGGUAUGCAAGUCAGAUGUGAAAGCCUUCUGUUCAACGGAAGAAUUGCAUCUGAAACUGCUGAUCUUGAGUAUAGGAGGGGAGAAUGGAACUUCUGGUGGAGCGGUGAAAUGCGUAGAUAUCAGAAGGAACGCCGGCGGCGAAAGCGAUUCUCUGGCCUAUUACUGACACUCAGUGUGCGAAAGCUAGGGGAGCAAACGGGAUUAGAUACCCCGGUAGUCCUAGCCGUAAACGAUGGGCACUAAGUAGAGG
rnacentral:rRNA from 1 species